rnacentral:rRNA from 1 species
CCUACGGGUGGCUGCAGUAGGGAAUCUUUCACAAUGGGCGAAAGCCUGAUGGAGCAACGCCGCGUGCAGGAUGAAGGCCUUCGGGUUGUAAACUGCUUUUAUAAGCGAGAAAUAUGAUGGUAACUUAUGAAUAAGGAUCGGCUAACUACGUGCCAGCAGCCGCGGUCAUACGUAGGAUCCGAGCAUUAUCCGGAGUGACUGGGUGUAAAGAGUUGCGUAGGUGGCAUAAUAAGUAGCUAGUGAAAUCUGGUGGCUCAACCAUUCAGACUAUUAGCUAAACUGUUAAGCUCGAGACCGUUAGGGGUAACUGGAAUUUCUAGUGUAGGAGUGAAAUCCGUAGAUAUUCGGAGGAACACCGGUGGCGAAGGCGGCCAACUGGGCUUUAACUGACGCUGAGGCUCGAAAGUGUGGGGAGCAAACAGGAUUAGAUACCCUUGUAGUC